rnacentral:siRNA from 1 species
UCGCAAAUUGCGUGUGUUUUGC